rnacentral:rRNA from 1 species
UACAGAGGGUGCGAGCGUUAAUCGGAAUUACUGGGCGUAAAGGGCGCGUAGGCGGGAUGGCAAGUCGGUCGUGAAAUCCUUCGGCCCAACCGAAGAACGUCGAUCGAUACUGCUGUUCUAGAGGAUUGCAGAGGAGACUGGAAUUCCCGGUGUAGCGGUGAAAUGCGCAGAUAUCAGGAGGAACACCGGUGGCGAAGGCGGGUCUCUGGGCAGCAACUGACGCUGAGGAGCGAAAGCGCGGGGAGCGAACAGG